GCCGCUGAAGCAUUUCUACAUCUUUUGUGCUCAUUGAGAGAAGAAAUCGGAGGGACUGGCAGAGUGAGCAUGAAAGAUGGCACCAACUCUACCUUGGACCUUUUGAUGGGAUUCUUAGUAGCAGCUUGACCUGUCAGAGUUGCUCAUCCCAGGAGGAGAAAGGUUCCAAGGUAAUCGAAAUGGCUAAAAUAGGAGAAAUGUUAGAAUUAACUAAUUGAUUUUGUAUGAUGACAUGGGUUAGAUUUGAGAAGCUAAGAAAAGACUCAGUUGUAGCUCUAUCUAAAGAUAAUGGUACUCCUAACCUUUAUUUCUAAUGUAAAUGUUUUCUCGUAUCUGUCUGAAAUUUUAAUUUAAUUUCAAACUGUAUAUUUGUUUGUU